rnacentral:rRNA from 1 species
CGGGUGAGUAAUGUAUGGGGAUCUGCCUGAUGGCGGGGGAUAACUACUGGAAACGGUAGCUAAUACCGCAUAACGUCGCAAGACCAAAGAGGGGGACCUUCGGGCCUCUUGCCAUCGGAUGUGCCCAGAUGGGAUUAGCUAGUAGGUGGGGUAACGGCUCACCUAGGCGACGAUCCCUAGCUGGUCUGAGAGGAUGACCAGCCACACUGAAACUGAGACACGGUCCAG